UAAGUUUUAGAGAAAUUUUGACGUAACUGUGUAUUGUACGUUUUAUACGUAACUCGAAGAAUCGAAAAUGGGUUCAAAUAAACGACAUAAGACCGAGAAGAGUCGGGACGCUAAGAAGAAGCGUCACCGUAGCCGUUCAAGAAGUUACACGCCUGAGCGCGAGAAAUCGGAAAAGCACAGACAUCACAAAAAGCAUAGAAGAAAAGAACGCAAGGAUUAUGACAGCGAUGUCGAAAUAGUUAAUGCACCUCCCCCACCAAAAAUUUCUAAGUCAUCACAUCCAUCAACACCUCCACCUCCUGAAAUCUCUAAGCAACGUAGUCCUUCACCAAACAAAGGUGGUGGAACACAGACCUCCCUGUCUAUUGAGGAAACUAAUAAGUUGAGAGCAAAAUUAGGUUUAAAACCAUUAGAAGUUGACAGUGCUCCAAAAGAUGACCCUAAUAAGAUUAAAGAUGACUUGGGAGAAUUUUAUCACAAGCCUGCACCUGAUGUUAAUGAAAAGUUAAGGAGCCAGAAAUUAAAAGAAAAAAUUGGUACUCAGAAACAGAAAAGAUUAAUUGAGCAAAAUUUAGCAAAAAUAAAAAGUUUGGGUGAUUGUGAGUCUGAUGAUGACACAAAAUCUUGGAUUGAUAGAAACAGACGUUUGGAGGAGGAGAAGAAAAAAGCAGAAGAAAGAGCAAAAAUGUUAGAUCAGCUAGAUGAGGAAUUUGGUAUUGGAAAUUUAGUAAAAGAAGAAAUACACGCCGCUCGUAAUACAGCUUAUACUGAAAAGAAUUUAAAGGGUCUGAAAGUAGAACAUAAUUUCGAAAAAUUUCAAGAAGGCAAAACAGUUGUCUUGACAUUAAAAGAUCAAGAAGUAUUACAUGAAGGUGAAGAUGUACUUGUUAACGUGAAUAUAACGGACGAAGAGCGUUAUCAACGUAAUAUUUUAAAUAAGACUAAAAAACCUGGUUAUGAUGCAUACGAUGACGAUAACUUCGAUGAAUUUGGUUUUCCAAAGAAAACGGUUUUGGAAAAAUAUGACGAAGAGAUUGAGGGCCAAAAAAAAGAUAAUUUCGUAUUGGGAGUUAAUAUGAAAGAUGUUAAGCAGAAUAAACUCGAUUAUGUUAAGCAACGUUUAGCGAAUAAACGACUAGAAUCGUUACAGUUAACAGAGCCAAAACUAGCUAGUGAAUACUACAAUGAUGAUGAACUUACAAAGUUUAAGAAACCAAAGAAAAAGGUUCGCAAAAUUCGAAAAAAAUUGAAAGCAGAGGAUUUGAUUCCUGAAGAUAACGAUUAUCUUCGUGAUCUCGGUAGCAGGAGAAGCAAACGAACGGAAGAUGUGAAAGAUAACGAUGCUUUAGACGUAGACGAUUUAGGAGCUCCGGCCGAAGACCUCAGUGGAAUUAAACUGGAUGAGGAUGACAAAGAGAUGGAAUUACAAUUAGCAUGGAAAAAAGCUCAACGACUAAAAGAAUCACAAGCAUCAAGUAUCGAAAAAGUCGCUGAAAGCAUAAAACAAGAGCCCGCAGGUUCUGAAGAAAAUCAAUCUGGAAAUAUCGUUCUUAAUGCUACUGCAGAAUUUUGCAGAACCUUAGGAGACAUUCCUACUUACGGUCUUGCCGGAAACAGGGAAGAAAAUGGCCAAGAACUUAUGGACUUCGAAUUGGACGGGGUCAAAGAAGAACCACCAAUAAAUGAAGAGGAGGAUGAUGGUCGUGGCGCGUGGAAUACUGUGCAACUAGAUGAAAGUACAUCUGAACCAGUAGCAAUGGAAGCUGCGAUUUUAGACGCAGAGCCUUCACUCGGUCAAGGCGUUGGCGGGGCGUUAAAACUCGCAAUGAGCAAAGGUUAUCUGCAAAAAGAGGACAGUAGUAGACCUUCUGCGUCUCGUUUCGCGCACUUACAGGCCCAGAAUUACUCCAUAGAGGAUAAAACUUACGGUUAACAGUCGUAAAUAGAGAGCCCAAAUUUCGGUGCUCGGAAAAUGGAUGAUCCACUACCGCAACAAGAGAUUAACUACUUUGUCGGAGAUGAUCAAAGGCCCGAGAAGAGAGUAGGAUUGAUAGAGGGACGAUGAUAAAUUUGGGAGAAGAGAUCGU
rnacentral:misc_RNA from 1 species